UCGCUCCUAUCCACCCAGCAGGCUCUACCCAGUGCCCACCCUGCCCACUUCUCUUUCUUAUCUAAUGACAGGAUCUGCUGGUGCUCACUCCGCCCACUUCUCUCCCCCAGCCAAUCCGCGAGCUCUGCCAGUGCGAGGGACCUGAGGAAAAGGGGCCUCCACAAUCCCAAGAGACAAUCCAAGGACCGUGGGAGCUGCUGGCCUCAGCCCCGGACUCCCCUGGAGCUGAGACAGUUUCAAAGCCACUGGCGGCCAGACGGAGUCUCGGAGUCUCACUCUGUCGCUAAGGCUGGAGUGCAAACGUGCAAUGUCG